rnacentral:rRNA from 1 species
AAUGGGCGAAAGCCUGACGGAGCAAUACCGCGUGAGGGAGGAAUGCCUUUGGGUUGUAAACCUCUUUUCUCAGGGAAGAAGAUCUGACGGUACCUGAGGAAUAAGUAUCGGCUAACUCCGUGCCAGCAGCCGCGGUAAUACGGAGGAUGCAAGCGUUAUCCGGAAUCAUUGGGCGUAAAGCGUCCGCAGGUGGUUUCCAAAGUCUGCUGUUAAAGACUGGAGCUCAACUCCGGAACGGCGGUGGAAACUUGGAAACUAGAGUUCGGUAGGGGUAGCAGGAAUUCCCAGUGUAGCGGUGAAAUGCGUAGAUAUUGGGAAGAACAUCGGUGGCGAAGGCGUGCUACUGGACCGUAACUGACACUCAGGGACGAAAGCUAGGGGAGCGAAAGGGAUUAGAUACCCCUGUAGUCCUAGCUGUAAACGAUGGAAACUAG